AGUUGAAAAGUACUUGCAGUUGCAACUCCUCUUCCUCAAGAGAUCCUCUUUCUCAACCAAAUAAGAACUGAAGCUCGAUUCCAUUAGGUAUUCAAUGUGGAUCCAACCUCAUGUAGAUUAUGUGGAUAGAGUAUUGUUGGUAAUCCAUCAAUUUAACCUCAGAGACAGGUACUAGAGAUCAUCAACCGACGCAUCGUUGAAGAUUUUCUCACUUCUAGCUAGUUGGUGAGUCCUCCCAGUUUCCGGAGGAUACCGAGAUUAUCUUUAUAGCUUUGUUUUGUUUCCUUUAUUUUAAUUAUUGGUAGCCAUGGACUUGUCAUUGGCACCUCCUGGAUUAUUGAUAGAGGCUUCAUAGACUAGA